rnacentral:rRNA from 1 species
CCUACGGGCGGCAGCAGUGAGGAAUAUUGGUCAAUGGACGAGAGUCUGAACCAGCCAAGUAGCGUGAAGGAUGACUGCCCUAUGGGUUGUAAACUUCUUUUAUAAAGGAAUAAAACGAGGCACGUGUGCCUUUGUGCAUGAACUUUAUGAAUAAGGAUCGGCUAACUCCGUGCCAGCAGCCGCGGUAAUACGGAGGAUCCGAGCGUUAUCCGGAUUUAUUGGGUUUAAAGGGAGCGUAGAUGGGUUGUUAAGUCAGUUGUGAAAGUUUGCGGCUUAACCGUAAAAUUGCAAUUGAUACUGGCAGUCUGGAGUACAGUUGAGGUAGGCGGAAUUCGUGGUGUAGCGGUGAAAUGCUUAGAUAUCACGAAGAACCCCGAUGGCGAAGGCAGCUUACUAAACUGUGACUGACAUUGAUGCUCGAAAGUGUGGGUAUCAAACAGGAUUAGAUACCCCAGUAGUC